rnacentral:rRNA from 1 species
UACGUAGGGACCAAGCGUUGUUCGGAUUUACUGGGCGUAAAGGGCGCGUAGGCGGCGUGUUAAGUCAGCUGUGAAAUCUCCAAGCUUAACUUGGAACGGUCAGCUGAUACUGAUGUGCUAGAGUGCAGAAGGGGCAAUCGGAAUUCUUGGUGUAGCGGUGAAAUGCGUAGAUAUCAGGAAGAACACCCGUGGCGAAGGCGGCUCUCUGGGACGGUACUGACGCUGAGACGCGAAAGCGUGGGGAGCGAACAGG